GCAGAGGUGACAAGGAAAAACCUUUGUUCUUGAGGAGGCCACCCUCUGAUGGGAGGGUACCUACCCGGCAAGGUUACCUGCAACAGUUUCUGUUUAAAGAAUUCUAACAUAACAUUCAUAACCUUAGUUACAAUGUUCAGAACCAACAGGCUGCUUUCUUAAAAGUGCAGGUUCCUCAAUUCUACCCCAGACGUAUUGAAUUAAGACUUUCUAAUGAGCAGACCAAAGAAAUCUGCAUCUUACCUUCCUUGCAACAAAGAUCAAGACUGAAAGCCUCAGCCAAUCCAAUUUUCUCACCAAAACAGUCGAGUGUAGUAUAAGGGGAUCCCCUAAUGUGACAGUGUCUCAUACUUCUAGGGGAUUUGGCUGGGUCAGAGGAGAAAUAGGUCAAGAAGACGUUUACACUAGUUCUGGGAGGACGUAAGUCUAGCUUUUUACCAAUCAAACCAGACCCAGAGAUUAGUCUUCUCAGCUGCACUCUCCAGCUGUCCCAGGGCCUAACAAACAGGUUCCUGCCCCUGUAGUGUAUCUAUAGGUUGUCCUGGACCGAAGACCCUCUACAGAUUACACAGGACUGAGAAUCGGUCACUGCAAGGUAAUAGCCAGGGCUUCAGGAAUGCACCAACCACCCCAAGUUAGGAGCUAAAAUAAGGAGCCAUUCAUUCCACAACACUGAUUUUUCCCCCCAGGGAAAAAAUGUGGGGGAGGGGAAUAUGGGAACUCUGUGUCCACUCGACUUUGCUGUGACCCUAAAACUGCUCUAAAAAUAAAGUAUAUUUAAAAAAAAAAAAUACAGAGGAGAUGCCGACUUCUGGAGACAGGAAAGUGGGAGUAUGACAGGAAGCGGAGUAGUUCGGAUGGAGUAUAUGACGCGUGGAGCGAGGGCUGGGUACGCUGGGAAACCGUACAGGACCUUUAGUGCACAACCAGCUCCUCUUAUGUGCUGGCCACCUUCCUGCAUUUUAUCAUGAUACAAACAUGACAUCAGUGUCCCUUGAUCCACAGACCUGUGGCUCAGAGCCACCAACUGGUGACUGAGUGGUACAGCCAGAAGUGACAGGUCCCUCCGCAGAGCGCUCCUCCCUGCCUCCCUGCCUCCCACCUCAUGCUGUAUCUCAGGAAGGGAGAUGCAGCUUUCAAAGGGGGAAAUGGUGGCCUGACCUAAAAAUAGCUUCUGUUAUCACGCACUUUGUUGGCUACACUCUGCCGAGCACUUUAUAGAGAUUACCUCCUCUAAUCCUCACCACAACCCUAUGAUUAUUAUUAUCUCCAUUUUAGAGAUGAAAAUACAGGCUUACAAGACCGAGGGCUGGGGAUACAGCGCAGUAGUCUAGCACUUGCCUAGCGUGCUGCAUUCCACCUCCAGCAUGAGAGGGGAGAGACCGGUGUGUAGCGAGCCUCACAGGCAGGGGGUCACAAAGCCCUACAGAGUCUGGGUGGUCUUGACUGCAGAGUGCAGACUCCACCCACCACUGCAGGCCACUACCUUUGAGGGGGCGUGUUGCAAAGAAUGGGCAGAGGAGCUGAGGCAGGUCCUGAAGGUCAAAGUAGACUUCUCUCAAGUGGGAGCAGCUAAAGGUGUGUCUGCGAAUCAGCGGAUCUUGGGACUUGAAUGUCUUGCAGGAUAAGCCAGAGGUCAGGAGCCGAGAUGUCACCCAAUCCUCGCAACAGAAGCCAGAGGUCCCUUUUGUAUGGUCUGUGCUCAAGCUCUCUCCUCCCUCCCCGAUGCUGCGAGGGGUGUCAUCUCUCUCCCAAGAUAACAGAGCCGCCUCAUCCCUCCUCCUGUGGCUAUUCUGGGCUCCUCUCUGAUCCUCCUCUCUUCCCCUAACCCAUACUUCACCCUUCUGCUGGGGGUAGGUAGGUGGAGAAAGGCCAGCCCACUUGCACAAGCCAGUGGCUGGGACCCCAGAGGCCAGUCUACAUAGCAGGUGCUCAGCCCCUCCCUCGCCACCAACAGUGACAAUCUUCUGCUGGAGCCCAGCCUCUGGGUUGGCCCAGCAUGGAGUCAGCCACAACUCCGGAGGUGGCCUUAGGCUCCAAGCUGAAGGUGGAAGAAGCCAGCCCAGCCGGUGCUGAAGGACCCCAGGCUUCACCUCAGCAGAGGGUGUGUGGCCCUACUUCCCAGCUCCUGCCUCCUGUGGAAGAGCACCCCAAGAUCCGGCUACCUCGGGCCCUGAGGCAGACCUACAUCCGGAAGGUUGGAGACACAGUAAAUCUACUAAUCCCAUUCCAGGGUAAGCCCAAGCCUCAAGCCACCUGGACACGUGACGGACGUGCCUUGGACACCAGUCACGUGAGCGUGCGGAAUGGGGAACAGGACUCCAUCCUCUUCAUCCGAGAAGCCCAACGCACUGACUCAGGCCGCUACCAACUCUGUGUGCAGCUGGGUGGACUAGAGGCCACUGCCACUGUUGACAUCCUGGUGAUCGAGAGGCCAGGCCCUCCUCGGAGUAUUAAGCUGGUGGAUGUUUGGGGCUCCAACGCUACUCUGGAAUGGACAGCUCCCCAAGAUACGGGCAAUACAGCACUCCUGGGAUACACGGUGCAGAAGGCUGACACAAAAUCUGGGCUGUGGUUCACUGUGCUGGAACAUUAUCACCGCACCAGCUGCAUUGUCUCUGACCUCAUCGUGGGCAACUCCUACGCCUUUCGCGUCUUCGCUGAAAACCAGUGUGGACUCAGUGAAACGGCCCCUGUCACUGUUGAUCUUGCUCACAUCCAAAAAGCAGCUACUAUUUACAAGACCAAGGGAUUUGCUCAACGGGACUUCUCUGAAGCGCCAAAGUUUACCCAGCCUCUGGUAGAUUGCACUACAAUCACGGGCUAUGACACUCAGCUCUUCUGCUGUGUCCGUGCCUCUCCCAAGCUCCUUAUUGAGACAAACUACAAGGACACAGUACCUGGGAAAGGUAAGGAAAAAUGGACAGGGUGUCUCAGUGGAUUAUUUCAUUUUAUGGCUUGUGUUAUUCAGUCUGGGAUAAAUGUAUAUUCCUGAGCCUCUCAACUAUAUACCCCUUGUGACCACUUCUUUUUUUAAUUUUUUUUCUAUUUUUUAAAAUUUUUUUUAUUAUUUUUUCCCGAUACCGGGAAUCAAACUCAUGACCUCGCGCUUGCGAGGCAGGCACUGUGCCACUGAGCUAAAUCCCCAGCCCCUAAAGCUAAUACUAUUGCCCCUGUAGAGGGAAUUUGUCAUAGAUGAGGUCUGAUUCUGUCACAUCCUUUGUAUGUCUGUACUCCCCAAGUUGGAAUCAACUCUGAUGGCUCUCUGAAGAAAGGGUCUCCAGGAAGCCUGACUGGGACAAGACGGUAUUCUUGAGGCACUUUAGUACAAUGUCUGGUUUGGAGUAAUCUAAAUAAAUGUGUGGAUCCUCAGUGAA